GAUGAACGCUAGCGGCAGGCUUAACACAUGCAAGUCGAGGGGUAUAGUUCUUCGGAAUUAGAGACCGGCGCACGGGUGCGUAACGCGUAUGCAAUCUACCUUUCACAGAGGGAUAGCCCCAGAGAAAUUUGGAUUAAUACCUCAUAGUAUAGCAGUUUCGCAUGAAACCACUAUUAAAGUCACAACGGUGAAAGAUGAGCAUGCGUCCCAUUAGCUAGUUGGUAAGGUAACGGCUUACCAAGGCUACGAUGGGUAGGGGUCCUGAGAGGGAGAUCCCCCANACUGGUACUGAGACACGGACCAGACUCCUACGGGAGGCAGCAGUGAGGAUAUUGGACAAUGGGCGCAAGCCUGAUCCAGCCAUGCCGCGUGCAGGAUGAC
rnacentral:rRNA from 1 species